rnacentral:lncRNA from 1 species
CGCCAUCUAAAAGUGAUCAAUUUUAUUAUUUUUUCCUAUUUCUAAAACCCGCAUGUUAGCAAUACGCAAUUUUACUAAUUUAGUUACUAAUUAUAAGACUGAGCAAUUUUUUCAAAAUAUUCAUAUUAUUUUCAAAACGCACACGGCUCUUACUAUUCACACGUACAGCCACGUAGCAAUUAUAUAUCAAUUUUUAAAAACAAUUUAACAUUUUUCAAUGCUUCUAAUUAACUAUUUAUAUAGUACUCCGCUAGUGAACUAAACCGAUGAUUAAUACGUACCCUCAAGAGAGUACUCGGUCUAUUUACCAGCGUUAAAUUCUUAGCUAGUUGUAAAAAGGCCCCAGAAGCAACGCGACUUCUUUAACUAUAUUAAUCUUACUUUCUCUUAUGCAAACAUCAAACAAGUUGUACUACUUUUUUUACAAAACUAUUUUUUAAUUGUACAGAUGAAGAAAUACCCCAGUUCCCUUUCCCGGAGCUGAACAUCUCUCCCGCGGCGCCGGCCACGCCCGCCGCCGCGCCCGCCUCCGCUGACGUUACGGGCGCCGCUGACGUCACCAACAUGGCCGACAUGAGCAUGAGCUUCGACUGAGACGAGCUGUACUUUCUGGACCGAGCAGUUCCGACGAGACGGCGGCGUGUCGUCGUGUCACGUGACAGUAACAGUGGACCGACAUAGACACCUUGUAAAUACAUAUAACAAUGUGUAUAUAUAUUAUAUAAUUUCCGAGUCAAUAUAGAUACGUCUAACUAUUUAUCCACAAGAAUU